rnacentral:lncRNA from 1 species
UCUUAACAUCACAAUGGUUCUUCUAGCUCAGAGUUCCAAAGUCCUUCCACAGUCCUCCCCAAAACAUGGUCAGGUUGUCACAGGAAUUCCCCACUCCUGGUACCAAUUUGUCUAAGACAUGGGUUUUUAUUCCUGCACAAACAUCAUGAUCAAGAAACAAGUUGGGGAGGAAAGAGUUUAUUCAGCUUACACUUCCUCAUGCUGUUCAUCACCAAAGGAAGUCAGGACUGGAACUCAAGCAGGUCAGGAAGCAGGAGCUGAUGCAGAGGCCAUGGAGGGAUGUUACUUACUGUCUUGCUUCCCCUGGCUUGCUCAGCUUGCUUUCUUAUAGAACCCAAGUCUACCAGCCCAGGGAUGGCAUCACCCACAAUUGGCCCUCCCACCUUAAUCACUAAUUGAUAAAAUGCCCCACAGCUGGAUCUCAUGGAGGCAUUUUCCUCAAGGGAGGCUCCUUUCUCUAUAACUCCAGCUUGUGUCAAGUUGACACAAAACCAGUCAGUACACUUAACUCCCAGGAUACUGGGGAGACAACACAAAGGAUGGGUAGCCAGGGGGGUGGCUGCUCUGUCUUCAUGGAAAUCUCCACAGGGGAUUGGACCCUCCACUACAGGAUCAUGGACAGCUGCUCCCCCACAUGCCACCAAAAUGAUGUCUGCCUGAAGAAGAUGGAGAGUAGCCCUAGGCCUUUCGUGACCUCUUCUUGAGCUGUGUUGGCUUGGAAACCAGGGGUUCGCACAAGCUGGGCAAGCCCUUGGUCACACCGAGUGACAUCCCAAGCCCAGAGCUCAGAGCCUUCUCAAACAGGGUUAGAGGAUUUAAGCUCUUCUGUUCCAGCCUUCUGCCACAUUCAAGGCACCCGCUCCUCACUGGACAUUAGCCUACAAGUACCUUAACCUUAGACUUCCCAGCUCCAUGCCUGCGAGCAAUCAGUUUCCGUUACUUACAACUCUUCCAGCCUGAUGUAGUUUGUCAUAGCAGCAAAGACGGACUAAGGUAAUUGAUCAUUAAAAGUUAUUUUCUGAGACUGGUGAGUUGGCUCAGUGGUUAAGAGAACUUGUGAAGGACCCCAGUUCAAUUCCCACCACUUACAUGACUGUUCAUAGCUGGCUACAAUCCAGUUUCAAGGGAUCCAAUGUUCUCUUCUGGCCCCUGUGGGUACCAGGCACAUAUGUGGUAUGCACACAUACAUGCAGGCAAAACACACAUACACUUGAAAUAAAAUACAUUUUUCUUAUACA